rnacentral:rRNA from 1 species
GAUGAACGCUGGCGGCGUGCCUAAUACAUGCAAGUCGAGCGAACAGACGAGGAGCUUGCUCCUCUGACGUUAGCGGCGGACGGGUGAGUAACACGUGGAUCACCUACCUAUAAGACUGGGAUAACUUCGGGAAACCGGAGCUAAUACCGUAUAAUAUAUUGAACCGCAUGGUUCAAUAGUGAAAGACGGUUUUGCUGUCACUUAUAGAUGGAUCCGCGCCGCAUUAGCUAGUUGGUAAGGUAACGGCUUACCAAGGCAACGAUGCGUAGCCGACCUGAGAGGGUGAUCGGCCACACUGGAACUGAGACACGGUCCAGACUCCUACGGGAGGCAGCAGUAGGGAAUCUUCCGCAAUGGGCGAAAGCCUGACGGAGCAACGCCGCGUGAGUGAUGAAGGUCUUCGGAUCGUAAAACUCUGUUAUUAGGGAAGAACAAAUGUGUAAGUAACUAUGCACGUCUUGACGGUACCUAAUCAGAAAGCCACGGCUAACUACGUG